rnacentral:rRNA from 1 species
GUCCUCAGUACGGAUUGCAGUCUGCAACUCGACUGCAUGAAGCUGGAAUCGCUAGUAAUCCCAGAUCAGCACGCUGGGGUGAAUACGUUCCCGGGCCUUGUACACACCGCCCGUCACAUCACGAAAGUUGGUUGUACCGGAAGCCGGUGCUCUAACCCUUCGGGGAGGUAGCCGUCCAUGGUAUGCCCAGCGAUUGGGGUGAAGUCGUAACAAGGUAGCUGUAGGAGAACCUGUGGCUGGAUCACCUCCUUUCUAGG